CGCACUUCCAAUACUUUUUGCUUCCAAAUCUCAUAUAUAAAUCAAUUGCCGAUGUGAAAUUACACCCACAGAUCAUGAAGUCAAGCUAAUAGAACAGCACAGCUCUUUUUGGUAUUUUUAACAUUCAGGGGUCACGUUGCUAAGCCAACAAUGUGAACUCUCGUCCCAUGUGGAGCGAAAAACAUGAUCCUAAACUAAGCAUUCCAAGAAUACAAAUUAGUUGUUCAGAUAAUACAUCUACAAACAAGUGUUCAUCAUACAAACUCGAGGCAUAACGACCCUUCUUAUAGAUAUCAGUAACUGUGAAACAAAUUAUUUAUGUCAAGAUGCACGACAAAAUAAAUCAGAGUCAGCCAUAGCUCAAGCGUGAAUCAACAGGUCGUACAGUUGUCUGACGUCGAGGAAUUCCAAUUUCACAAGCAUUAACUCUAGCAGCAAAUCGAAGAGAACACAGUGAUUCACCAACUGAAGUGGGCUCUGGUGAAAUAUUGACAAACAUCAAGGUUUUUGAAUCCCCACCUAGACAAGGCUGUUGACAGAAUCAAUCAAAAUUAGAAAUUUGAUAAUCUAAAGUAAACCGGCCUGGUUAAAAAGGGCAAAGAAGCUGCUCUUGUUUUCUUUUCCUUGAUAGUUCUUGUUGAAGGAAUAUAGUUGCAAGAAAUGGCUUUACCUGGAGAAGAUAUGUCAAUUUUGAAUUCCUGAAAGGAACAUGAUCUUCCUUCUUUGCAAGGGCAAAUAUUACGUCACUUAAACAUGACAAACUUUUAUUGAUGGCCUGUUUUAUAUGGGAAGUUAGGACAACUGGAUCAAGGAAAAAAAUGAAACAAACUUACUAAAGAACUUGAAAAGAAAAUACCUGAGUUUCCUUCAACCUAUCCCCAGUUGCCCCGCUCCUUGAGAGUCGCUCGCUUCCAGCAAGGUCAAUGAGGUUUAAUACACCUUGUACUUGUUGUUCAGUGUUCUAGCAUUGUAAGAAAGAAAACCAAAUAAAUAGAGAAAUAAUAGAAAAAACACAAGUAUCAUUUGGGAGAUUACGGACCUCAUUCACCCCAGAUAUUCUUAAUGUGAACACAAAAUGGCUUCUUGAUGACUGCUCAUUCAUUUGUGUCUUUCCUACAGAUCUGCUUUGGGCAGCUUGCCGUAGAAGAGAGGAAAUCUCCUGGAUACUACAAACAUCAACAAUGGUGAGGUCAGUGACUUGUGUGUUGCCAUUUGCAUCAUGUUUUAUAGUAUACUGCUUCCCAGUAUUUUCUGUAGCACUUGAUCUAUUUGUCAAUAAAUCACGAAUGUUUUCGUUGUAUAUCUCCAACAUUGAAGCCUGCAUUUUGUACUUCCAACCCUGUGCUAAAAGGGACUGGCUAGCUUGAAAUAUUUGUUCUAGAGAUCGAGGUAUCAGCCCUUUUUGAUCUGGAGCCUCUGUCUUACCCAUCAUUGUAUAAGUUUUUCCAGAACCAGUUUGACCGUAAGCAAAAAUG
rnacentral:misc_RNA from 1 species